AUGCAAGUCGAGCGGGGGAAGGUAGCUUGCUACCGGACCUAGCGGCGGACGGGUGAGUAAUGCUUAGGAAUCUGCCUAUUAGUGGGGGACAACAUCUCGAAAGGGAUGCUAAUACCGCAUACGUCCUACGGGAGAAAGCAGGGGAUCUUCGGACCUUGCGCUAAUAGAUGAGCCUAAGUCGGAUUAGCUAGUUGGUGGGGUAAAGGCCUACCAAGGCGACGAUCUGUAGCGGGUCUGAGAGGAUGAUCCGCCACACUGGGACUGAGACACGGCCCAGACUCCUACGGGAGGCAGCAGUGGGGAAUAUUGGACAAUGGGGGGAACCCUGAUCCAGCCAUGCCGCGUGUGUGAAGAAGGCCUUAUGGUUGUAAAGCACUUUAAGCGAGGAGGAGGCUACUUUAGUUAAUACCUAGAGAUAGUGGACGUUACUCGCAGAAUAAGCACCGGCUAACUCUGUGCCAGCAGCCGCGGUAAUACAGAGGGUGCGAGCGUUAAUCGGAUUUACUGGGCGUAAAGCGUGCGUAGGCGGCUUAUUAAGUCGGAUGUGAAA
rnacentral:rRNA from 1 species